UGAUUAUUCCUGGGGGAAUUCCAAUUU
rnacentral:piRNA from 1 species